GGAUCGAUGAUGACUCUUACAAAUGCAUUCCUUGGAAAUAUGAACAAAAUGAGUGAGCCCUCCCUACCAUCUCCUCAUCGGAACUGAGGUCC
ensembl:snoRNA SNORD116 Small nucleolar RNA SNORD116